GACACCCUGUAGUGUUCGAGGUGCUCUAAUAACCGCUCUUUGCCUUUGCUAUAAUUUGGGAGCCGCCGACAGGCGGGCUGAUGCCAGGCCGUAAACCGGAAGGCAGACGUUCGUCGGGUGGUGCCCACCUUUAACUUAAAAAGGACAUGAGCCUUUGGGUACACGGCACCGGCGGGGUGUCA
rnacentral:other from 1 species